rnacentral:rRNA from 1 species
UACGGAGGGUGCAAGCGUUAUCCGGAUUCACUGGGUUUAAAGGGUGCGUAGGCGGUUCAAUAAGUCAGUGGUGAAAUACGGCAGCUCAACUGUCGAGGUGCCAUUGAUACUGUUGGACUUGAGUACAGACGAGGUAGGCGGAAUUGACGGUGUAGCGGUGAAAUGCUUAGAUAUCGUCAAGAACACCGAUAGCGAAGGCAGCUUACUAGGCUGUAACUGACGCUGAGGCACGAAAGUGUGGGGAUCAAACAGG